UAACUUUCAACAACGGAUCUCUUGGCUCUCGCAUCGAUGAAGAACGCAGCGAAAUGCGAUAAGUAAUGUGAAUUGCAGAAUUCAGUGAAUCAUCGAAUCUUUGAACGCACCUUGCGCUCCUUAGUAUUCUGAGGAGCAUGCCUGUUUGAGUGUCAUUA
rnacentral:rRNA from 2 species